GGCGGCGGGCGGCGGGCGGAAGGCAUCACUUUGUCCGGACUCUAAUUCAAAUUGUAUUCAUCCGAUCUUCACCAAACUUGGUCAGCAGUUGCAUCUAGUUGAUAUCUAGGCCAAGUUCGAAUAUGGGUCAUGCCGGGUCAAAAACUAGGUCAUAGGGUCAAUAAGUGCAUUUUCAAAGGGGCCACUUUGUCCGGACUCUAUUUCAAAUUGUAUUCAUCCGAUCUUCACCAAACUUGGUCAGCAGUUGCAUCUAGUUGAUAUAUAGGCCAAGUUCGAAUAUGGGUCAUGCCGGGUCAAAAACUAGGUCAUAGGGUCAAUUAGUGCAUUUUCAACGGCGCCACUUUGUCCGGACUCUAAUUCAAAUUGUAUUCAUCCGAUCUUCACCAAACUUGGUCAGAAGUUGUAUCUAGACAAUAUCUAGGUCAAGUUCGAAUAUGGGUCAUGCCGGGUCAAAAACUAGGUCACAGGGUCACUUAAACCAUUUCAAGCAUUUAGCAUGGUGUCCGCUCUCUAAUUGAAGUAGUUAUCAUCCGAUCUUCACCAAAUUUGGUCAGAAGUUGUGUCUAGACAAUAUCUACAUGUAGGUCAAG